GACGAACGCUGGCGGCGUGCCUAAUACAUGCAAGUCGAACGCAGUGGGGACGGGUGAGUAACACGUGGGUAACCUCCCAUCAGAAGGGAUAACACUUGGAAACAGGUGCUAAACCGAUACUGAUGGAUGGACCCGCGGUGCAUUAGCUAGUUGGUGAGGUAACGGCUCACCAUGGCCACGAGGAAUAGACGAACGUAGAGGGUGAUCGGCCACAUUGGGACUGCGCCACGGCCCAUACGCCGACGGGAGGCAGCAGUAGGGAAUCUUCGGCAAUGGACGAAAGGCUGACCGAGCAACGCCGCGGGAGUGAAGAAGGUUUUCGGAUCGUAAAACUCUGUUGUUAGAGAAGCGGGAUCUAACCAGAAAGCCACGGCUAACUACGUGCCAGCAGCCGCGGUAAUUC
rnacentral:rRNA from 1 species